GAUGAAGAACGUAGCGAAAUGCGAUAAGUAAUGUGAAUUGCAGAAUUCAGUGAAUCAUCGAAUCUUUGAACGCACCUUGCGCCCUUUGGUAUUCCGAAGGGCAUGCCUGUUUGAGUGUCAUUAAAUUCUCAAACUCUAUGACUUUAUUGUUGUAGCUGUUUGGAUUGCUGGGGGUUGCUGGCGUCUUCUUUUGAAGUCGGCUCCUCUUAAAUGCAUUAGCGGGACUUUGUUGCCUCUGCGCAUAGUGUGAUAAUUAUCUACGCUAGACGCAUGCAAUUCUUAUAUUGUCCAGCUUUCUAAUCGUCUCAAGGGACAAUUACUUUGACAAUUUGACCUCAAAUCAGGUAGGACUACCCGCUGAACUUAAGCAUAUCAAUAAGCGGAGGA
rnacentral:misc_RNA from 1 species